ensembl:lncRNA
UUUUUCUUUUUCUUUUUCUUUCUUUUUUUUUUCGUCUUUUUGCUAUUUCUUGGGCCGCUCCCAUGGCAUAUGGAGAACUGUAACAAUUCUCUACCUAAUAAAGAUGGAAAUUAAUUUUUUAAAGAGUGAGAAAAGAAUACUCUCCUAGAAGCUAUACAUGCACUGGUCAGUCUUUAACUAACACUGAGGAUGCCUGAAGCCUGCUGCCCUGACCAGCACUUUCAUUAUUAAGAAGCUGAGAGGUGAAGGUACUCUUUGACUUAGAGAAUAUUUUAUUGGCAGAAGUGCCGAAGAGACCCUUUCUUUAAAUAUUCACUGUGUUCAGUGUUCCCUAUCACCUCAGGGAUUUACUGAGAACUCCAAGAAAGUCUGUUUUGCAUCCUUAGACAAAGGUUAGCCAUUUCAGGCAGUUGGUGUAUGUGAUGUGUUUUCUUAUGGGCAAGAUACUUCUGUCCCUGAAAAUCACUUUUUUUCUGCACAGUCUUUUCAACGGCCUGGAUCUCUUUGAGACUCUUAAGCUCAUCACAGAGUAGCAAAAAGUGCCACUUGUAUCCAAAUCCACAAUUUCUCAAGUUCAUUAAAACAUCUGUCUUCACGGCCAUAUUUGGUGCCAGGGAGUCCUUUCCUCACUACUUGGAUGUAACUUAACAUCUAAGAAGACUUAAGGGCAUUUGAAGCUUCCCCAGGAAGCCAAGUAAGACAUACAGUGCUCUCAGCCUCAUUUGAUUCUGAUAAUUUGACCAGGACUUAGGUAGAGAAUUGUUAUAGUUCUCCAUAUCCUAUGUUCCUAAUCCAGAAUCUUUCCCAACCAAUCCUGUACACAUAUAAAAGAUACCUGCUAGCAGAACGUAAUACUUCAGCCAGAGAAUGAUGUCUUGGAUAUGCUUAGGCCAGAAAACAUAAUGCAGAAGAAAAAUAGGAACUCAGACCUAAUAAUCGGCUGGGGAAAUAUCCCUACUUCUUGUUGGCAAACAGUUCUCCAUGAGUUCUUUGUGUUUCUGUUCAUCUUGUGGCAGCUUUUAUUCUGGAAUAUCUGUUCGAAUGAACAGCCUUAGAAGAUAAAGAUAGUGUCUCCCUGCAGGACAGAGGGAAGAUAUGUUUGCUGUGCAAGAUAGUAAAGAUGCUUCUGUCCAGGGCAACGUUUGGGCAGGCUAGCAAGCAACCCCCUUAAAAGAUUAGUGGUUCCUAAGCUCACAGUCUGCAGCUAUAACACAAACCCACUGUGUACAUAUCAUUCCCUUGGGCCUGCCUCUGCACUGCCCCUGUGGACUUGGGGGCGAGGGGAGUGAAUGAGAUCAUGAACAUUUUGCAGCUUACUGUGCCAUGAGUAAUGAAGUCCUUCGUUUUUGACCCAGGAAGUUUGUCUUCUUCUAACAUCUAGGAAACAGACAGACUAACCCGUUAGCUUGAAAGCAGGUUAAAAAUCAUAAACCCUUCACAAUUCUUGGCUCUCCUAAUAAGAGUUAGCCCACUGUUAGAAUGAGGACUCUCCUUGACCACAGUCAAAAGGAAAUUUUUAUUUCACAGGCAAAACAAAUAGGUAUGUAUAACGGCUAAGUAUUAAU